rnacentral:rRNA from 1 species
GUGAGGAAUAUUGCGCAAUGGAGGCAACUCUGACGCAGCCAUGCCGCGUGCAGGAAGAAGGCUCUACGCGUUGUAAACUGCUUUUAACCGGGAAGAAACCCCAGGACGUGUCCUGGGUUGACGGUACCGGAGGAAUAAGCACCGGCUAACUUCGUGCCAGCAGCCGCGGUAAUACGAAGGGUGCAAGCGUUAUCCGGAUUCAUUGGGUUUAAAGGGUGCGUAGGCGGAGCGUUAAGUCAGUGGUGAAAUCCUGCAGCUUAACUGUAGACUUGCCAUUGAUACUGGCGCUCUUGAGUGCGCUUGAAGUGGGCGGAAUGUGCCGUGUAGCGGUGAAAUGCUUAGAUAUGGCACAGAACACCAAUUGCGAAGGCAGCUCACUAAGGCGAUACUGACGCUGAGGCACGAAAGCGUGGGGAUCGAACAGGAUUAGAAACCCGAGUAGUCC